AAGGAGAACAAUCAAUCAAAUUCCAGAAAACCAACCAAGGAGUCAUUGUCAUGUCAAGUCGGUCACUGGGGAUGUUUGCAGUUUAAGCUUCGUUUCUUAUAAGAGGGAAAAAUUUCAAAAAACAUGACAUUUUAUGUAUGUAUGCAUAUACCGGGAGCGGAGUUCCAGGGGUUGUCUAUACCAGGGGUAAAAAUCAGUCUGUCCAAGGAGCCUUAGUUUCAAAAUAUAUUCUUAAAGCAGCUACACAAAUAAACAACGCAGUAUUUAGUAGUAGUAUUUAUAUUCAACGCAGUUUCUGGGGAGAAAAUCGAACUACGAAUUAUUUUUGAAUUACUCUAUUAUAUUUAAUGCAUUUAAAAUGCACUGACCUUACCAGGAACGGCACUUCUGAGAAUAUCUUGUUUUUUUUUAUGUUACUUAAAACUGAGUGUUAACUGAAUCUACAAAUUAUUUUUACAAUAUUCAAUGCAUUAAGAUUUUUUUACGAACACGCAACACUAUAAAAUAUGUCGGGAAGCCAUCGAGAGAACAUAUGGUAUGUAGGGGCAUGUAGAACUGAUACUCAUCAGGUUCAGGAAACAGGAACAGAGCAUACAGUACUGGCACUCAUAAAAGAUUUGAAUUUAAACAAAAAAAAUCUGCCGACUAAGGUCAAGAAUGACGAGUCACUUGUGAAUAAAUAUCCCCACCUUCUGGUUAAAUUUGCUGUCCAUACCACAGAAGUAAUACACGCCUAUCUGUGUGUUGUUUAAUACAAAUGCUCACGACACACUAUUCUUAAAAAUAUGUAAAUGUUUGGAACUUACACGAUACAACCACUAAAAAAAUAUUAAAUU